rnacentral:tRNA from 1 species
GGGUGCUUAGCUCAGUUGGUAGAGCAGCUGACUUUUAAUCAGCGGGUCACAGGUUCGAAUCCUGUAGCACCCACCA